GCCCUCCCCCCACCAUGGCGCGGAGCGAGGCAGCGGCGGCGGGGCCGGGCCCGGGGCCCCCCCGGGCUGGGUGAGCGCGGCCUGCAGCGGCCCGGGAGCGGCGGGCGGGGGCGCGGGUGUGUGCGCGGGUGUGAGCGUGCGAGCGUGCGAGUGUGUGUCCGUGGCGCUGCGGCGGGCCCGGCGUGCGCCCGCGCGGCCCUAUGUGUGCCCGGUGCCGGCGUGUGCGGCGCCCUGCCCGUGUGGCCAUCGGGUGUGCGCGGGGUGUCGAGCCCGGCCGGCGUGUCCGGCUGUGCACGCGUGUCCCCCCGAGCGGCCGCCCCUCCGGCUGUGUGUCUGGGCGCUGUCGCGCGCCCAUCGGAGGGGCUGUGUGCAGGUGUGUGUGUGCGUGGGUUGUGUGCCCAGGUGUGGGUCCCCCCCAAGCCCAUGUGCGUGCGCGACUAGCUGCUCUGGGUGUUUGUGUCCGGGUUGGAUGUCCAUCCCCGGGUCUGUGGAGCCGGGUGUGCCCGCUCGGGUGUCCAUUUGUGUGUGUGUGUGUGUGUGUGUGUGUGUGUGUGUGUCUGCGGGUUGUAUGUCUCCGAGGGUGUGUAUCUGUGAGUCCACGGCAGGUUGCUGGCUUGGGGGCUGAGGCUCGGCGCCCAGGCCUCGGUGUGGAUUUGGGGGAGGGGAGUUCGCCGCUCCCUCGGUCCAUGUCAACUGGGGGGUCCUUAGCGGUCCUGGGGGAAGCGGCCAUGUCUUCCCCUUCCCGGUGGUUGCGGGGGGGGGAUGGGCGGCCAGGAGGUGGACAGAUGGAGGGGGGAUGAGAGGCCGAGAAAUGGACAGAUGGGCCCUGAGGUGGGGGUUGGGGGGCGAAGACCCGGCCCUUCCCCACCCACUCCACCCUAAUUCCCCCACCGGCCAGACAUCUGCAGACGGAGCCAGAGUUACCUCCAUCCUGAUGGCCAGGCUGGGGAACCUUUGGGGCUGCUGGUGGGAGGAUCUCCUUGAAACGGUGAUCUAGGACUCAAACCCCCAAAUCCUCUUGAGUUUCCACCUGCUGAACUCUGACCUCUGGCCUGGCUUUUGCCCUGGUUUUUUGGGGGUGUGGAGGGCAGGAUGCUGAAUGUGCUGCAGGGAUGUUAGGAUUUCUUGGGCCUGGGAAGUAAGUAGGUGGGGUGGUGGGGGGGUGCCUCAGGGCUGGGAGGAAUGUGUGUCCAAGACUGUGUGAGUGUGAAUCUGGGCCUGUCUACUGACUGUGCUACUGUGGUUCAGUAUUUUCUAUGCAUUUGGAAGUGUGUAAAUCACAGGACUGUUGUGUGAGCAUGUGUCUGUUAUGAGUGAACAUCUUGGCGUGUCUGCAAAGGUGGAUCUUUUUGUGCCUGUGUGCGUGUUCCAGUGUGGAUCAGCCUCGUAUCUGUAUGCUUGUGGUUUUGUGUGUGUGUGUGUGUGUGUGAGGUAUGUAUCUGUUAGCGUGGUGCUGUAUCAACUUUGCAACAUGGAGAUGUGUGAAGUAUGAGUGUGUCUAGGCAUUUAAGAGUGUGCACUUGUGUAUGUUUGCACAGGUGUGUGUGUGUUUGUUAGAUGUGUGUGCCCCUGUGUGCUGGUGAGUGUGCAAGGUAGAUCUGUUGUAAAUGCAUGUACCUGGUUGUCUGUUAGGGGGCACAUGAGUUUCUCUGUUGUAUCUGUGCAUUUGUGUGUGUGAACUUGCAUGGCAGAGUCAGUGUUGUACAUGUAUUGUUGCAUGCAGGUGUGUCAACCUUGAGGGUAUGUAUCCAUCUAUGUUGUGAGUCUGUUUGUGUUUUGGUGUUGGUCUCUGGGGGUUGUGUAUGUUCAGACAUGUAUGUGAAAGACACAUGUGUCUGUGCCCUGGCACAAGGCUGUCCCUACUCUUGGGUUCAGUGGGUUUGAGGCCCAUGUGGCAUGACCUCUGGUAUACUGGGGUCCCGCCUGGGGUCCCUGGACACAGUGUGUCCAUAUGCCAGGCCAAGUGCCCAUAGAGGGCGGAGGGCACACAGAUCAUGUUGCUAUGUUCAUAGAAAUCCAGAUGUAGAGACUUGGGUUGUGGGCUUGCGUGGGUUCUGACAUGGACACACAUGUUGGUGUGGGCAAUAGUAUCAUGGCAAGGAUGGGAAACUUUGGCCCUUCCCCAGCUCUUGGUACCGUUCAGGACUUUGGAGUUGAGGGGCUGGGAUGUAAACUCUUGGGUUCUAAUGGAGGGCCAGAGGUCUGGUCUGGACUCUUGGGUCAGAGGGAAGAGGGGGCUGGGGUUCUUGGCUCCUGAAACCCCAGAGGACAAAGGGCUAAAGUCCUCGACUCCUGGGCUUUGGAGGGUGAACAACCCUGAGGCCUAAUCUAGGAUUCCAGAGAGGACUUCUGGGUUCCUGUGAGACUAUGCAAAACCCGCCACAGGAGGACUGAGAGCGUGAUCACACCAGGGACUUCCUUGGCCGGGAUGGUCUCCAAGGCAAGAUCUGGUGCACAGAGAAGAGCCAGAACGAUGCUAACAAGGUGGUUCUGUUCCUUUGCAGGUGCUGGCCCAGGCCCUGACUCCCUGAAGAGAGGUGAGUAGAGCCGUAAGGCUUCAGAGAGAGAGAGACAUGGGGGGUGAUGGGGCUUGCUGU
rnacentral:lncRNA from 1 species